rnacentral:piRNA from 1 species
UAGCAGUCUGGCUUGUCGUCUUGCUUUAU